rnacentral:rRNA from 1 species
UGGGGAAUCUUGCGCAAUGGGCGAAAGCCUGACGCAGCGACGCCGCGUGAGGGAUGAAGGCCUUCGGGUUGUAAACCUCUUUCAGCAGGGACGAAGCGGAAGUGACGGUACCUGCAGAAGAAGCCCCGGCCAACUACGUGCCAGCAGCCGCGGUAAUACGUAGGGGGCGAGCGUUGUCCGGAUUUAUUGGGCGUAAAGAGCGCGUAGGCGGCCACCCAAGUCGAUCGUGAAAGCUCGGGGCUCAACCCCGAGAUUGCGGUCGAUACUGUGUGGCUAGAGGCUGGUAGGGGGGUGUGGAAUUCCCGGUGUAGCGGUGGAAUGCGCAGAUAUCGGGAGGAACACCGGUGGCGAAGGCGGCACCCUGGGCCGGUACUGACGCUGAGGUGCGAAAGCGUGGGGAGCAAA